rnacentral:lncRNA from 1 species
UAUAUCUGACUGAAGGAAUGAACUGGGAGAGAACAGCAGAGCCGCAGCGGAAUGUGGAAAGGCCCACGUCCAGACUGUUCCCAUUCUGAUUUAAAAGCCUGAUGAAGGAACAGCUGAACUCAGAGAAACAGCAGGUGAAAAGCCUUUCUACUCUGUGUUCUCCAAUUCAUCCUAAAAUCAAGACCAAGGUAGAAUUCUCGAACUUGGCCUAUUCUGAAAAAAAUGGACAUGGCUGGGACAGAGAGCUUGUGUGAAUAUUCCCAAUUGUGAACAUGGAAGCUAUAAAUUGAGGUGUCAGAACCACAAGAUGGAAGUACGUUGGAUUUCUGAGUCACCACCUGGAGGAGAGCUUCCCUGCAGCAUUGCUGGAAUCUGAUGUGAACUAGAUAUUCAUCUUGAUCGUGUUGACUUGAACCUAAUUCAGGCCUAAGACAUAAUAUAUACUGCAUAAUAUAUGCCGUAUAAUGAUAAUAUAUUUAUGCAGCCUUUAUUGAUAUGAGUAGUGGUUUAUCUCAGUUUUAUAAUAAAAAUCUCUCAAAGAACAUUGACUCCAAGGAAUAACAAUCACAAAAGGAUUACAGCUUUGUUUAACACUUUCUGCAAAUCCUUGAAGCUGAUCUUUCCUGUUGUUUCUAAUCCCAAUAGCCAGCCUAAACCUUUUGGUGUAAUCUCAUGUAUUCUGACCUCUGUUAUUUCCUGCUGCUUAAUGAUCUUUCUAUAAAUUGUAUGGGAAAUGAAGCAAAUGUAAUUACAGUGUCUGCCAGCCCUGAUGCAGAUAAAUAGGUGGGAGUCUGGCCAAGUGUCUCCCCAAGCUAGCCUUUGGUGUCUUUCACUCACAGCAGAAAGAAAUAGGUCAUAAAUUACAGCACUGAUUUGUUCCAAUGAUAUCAUUAGCUCCUGGAAAACAAGGAUCAUGAAAAACCCAUUUCAAAUGAACAUAUGAGUCAAUACCAACCAAGCAUCUUUUGGAAAAGAGCCCUUAUAAAUUCAUACUAGAAUUCUGACUCCUAAGUGAAUAUCUCUGGAUCUUCAGAACAUAGAAGACUUAGCUCCAGCCCAUGCAUCAGUCCCUUCAGACCAUAGAGUCAUAACCAGGCCUAUUGAAAGAGCUGGUUACAUGAGACAGUCAGAGAUUUACCUAGGUGAGAAAAUAAAGAUUAGAUGGUUUGAAGCAGAGUUCUAGCCCUUCCAAAUCAGACCUCCAACCCCUUUCUUAAUUCUAUAGUUUGUAGUUUUCAAAGGAGAAGUUGUAAUAAAGAGUAAGUAAACUAACUUCUUUUUUUCUUAUGGUUUUUGUUUGAUAAUAUGAGGAUAAAAGCAUACCCUUUUUUGACCUAUCCCAGGAUAAAAUGCAGGUGGAGAAAAGGUUUUCCGUAUUGUCUUUAGCCUUGACACAACAAAAUAGGAAAAGAUAUUUUCCGAUCUGGGUUGAGUAGAUGCAAAGAAGUGUUUUAAGGUACAUCUGUAGAGCACACUCAGCACUUGGGGACUCAGGUGCCUCAAGAGAAGCUAGAGACCUAAUGUAGGGAUAUAGAGGCCAGGAGGACACACUGGAACACAGAAGAUGACAGCUUUUGAAAGAGCUCAAGAUUCUAAUUUCUUGAACCAGAGGACAGAUUCUCCUCUAUGUCCGUUCACACUUUCAGACUUUACUCUGCAUUAGCCCUCUGUUCCCCACACCUGCUUCUGGACCCCUGGGUGGUUACACACUCUGACUUCAUCAACCCUUAUCCUUAUUGUAGGGAUAUGAAAUUUAAAAUUGGCAUCUUCCACAGCCAAUUCUGGUCACUAUUCUUGUUACUUUAACUGAUAUGCAAUAAAGAAUAUGCCUGACUUUGUCCCUGGUUCCUGGGAAGUAGCAUCAAAACCUUUAGAAUUUCUUAAGUGGUAGGAGUGUCUAUUAUUCAUGGUGAACUCCUGGGAUCAAACUUGAUAGUCUGUGCUAAAGAGAUGACUCAGGACAGGAGCUGGCUGCUCCUGCCAGAAAGACCAACCAUGUGAUUAGAGGGUGGGGCUUUGAGCCAGGUGAUAUCAGCUCAGUCUCCAGGGAGCCAAGGGGAGCUAGAGAUUGAAUUCAACUGCAAGGCCAAAGAUUCCAUCAGUCAUGAUUGUGUAAUGAUACCUCAAUAAAAACUCUGGGCAGCAAAGCUCAGUUGAGCUUCACAGGUUGUUAAUAUUCUGAUAAUGUCACACAUUGAUAUGCCAGGAAGGUAAUGCAUCCUUACUCUUUGGGGAUAGAACAACAGAAGCUUUGUGUUGAACUCCCCUAGACCUCAUUAUAUGUGUAUCUCUUUCCCUUUGGCUGGUUCUGAUGUGUAUCCUUUUGCUGUAAUAAGACUACAACUGUAAUUUAUAGGACUUUCUUGAGUUCCAUGAGUCAUUUUAGUGAAUUAUUAAUCCUGAGGGGGUUAUGGGAACCACCAAAUUUGUAGCAAGCUGGUCAGGAGUAAGAGUGGCCUGUGAGCCUUUGAACUUGUGUCUGAUGUCUUUAGUUUGUGUAGUCUUGUGGAAAACUGUGUCCCUAACCUGUAAAGUAACUGGUGUCAAAAGUCAGUGAAACUAGGCAUAAUUAGAACUCAUGGACAUUCACACCCAUUCCACUUCAGUCACAUGCUUCCGAGGCCUCACUGAGUUCCUUUUACACAUCUAUCUUCUCUACUUUGGUUCUUAUUCCGUAUGAUGGCAAAAAGAAAUACAACUGGACUCUAAGAUGAUGGUGACUCAUG